rnacentral:rRNA from 1 species
AUUGAACGCUGGCGGCAGGCCUAACACAUGCAAGUCGAGCGGAUGAAGGGAGCUUGCUCCUGGAUUCAGCGGCGGACGGGCGAGUAAUGCCUAGGAAUCUGCCUGGUAGUGGGGGAUAACGUCCGGAAACGGGCGCUAAUACCGCAUACGUCCUGAGGGUGAAAGUGGUGGAUCUUUGGACCUCACGCUAUCUGAUGAGCCUAGGUCGGAUUAGCUAGUUGGUGGGGUAAAGGCCUACCAAGGCGACGAUCCGUAACUGGUCUGAGAGGAUGACCAGUCACACUGGAACUGAGACACGGUCCAGACUCCUGAGGGAGGCAGCAGUGGGGAAUAUUGGACAAUGGGCGGAAGCCUGGUCGAGCCAUGCCGCGUGUGUGAAGAAAGUCUUCGGAUUGGAAAGCACUUUAAGUUGGGAGGAAGGGCAGUAAGUUAAUACCUUGCUGUUUUGACGUUACCAACAGAAUAAGCACCGGCUAACUUCGUG